AUGAUGGUUAUCUCAAAGGAAAUUAGUGAACUUCCUGGUUCAUAGAAACAUCUUCAACUGCUUUCCUAAACACUGUUAUACUUCCUGACUGUCAUGGUAACGUGUGUGCCUGGGGCAAUGGGAGACACACUGGAUUUGUGUGCUUCACUCACACCCUUUGCAUGGUCGUUAGUUUGCAGUGGAUGCAUUGUUGGGGCUGGCUAACAGUCCAAUUUCUUCCACUCUGGUCGCCUGGCCUUGUGAUAAAGAGAUUAAUUCUGCAGGUUGAAUUCGGGCUUGAGAGGAGUGGCCCCUGGCAACAGACUAAACAGUCUGGCCUUGUACUUUAUUGAGUUCAGAUGAUGGAAGGCAACAGUAAAAUGUAAAAGAUUCUUCGAUAUUUCUAGGAUAUAUCUUUCGGAGAUGCAAUAAAGAUGGCGGAGGAACCCUGUGGUCGAGAAGUAUCUGUAGGAGGAAAGGAACUGUCAAUAUUUGUGGUCAGAACUCUGCAUCUGGUCUGACUGGAGAAUGGAGAUGGCCAGUCAAGAGAGAGGGGUAGUGGUAAACCGCCUGAGGUGAUUGGUGGACAGUGAGUGGCGAGAGAGAGAGAGAGAGAUGUCCAGUAUAGAGAGAGGGUAGUGGUAAGGCAAUCUGAGGUGAUUGGUGGACAGUGAGUGGCGAGAGAGAGAGAGAGAUGUCCAGUAUAGAGAGAGGGUAGUGGUAAGGCAAUCUGAGGUGAUUGGUGGACAGUGAGUGGAGAGAGAGAGAGAGAGAGAUGUCCAGUAUAGAGAGAGGGUAGUGGUAAGGCAAUCUGAGGUGAUUGGUGGACAGUGAGUGGCGAGAGAGAGAGAGAGAUGUCCAGUACAGAGAGAGGGUAGUGGUAAGGCAAUCUGAGGUGAUUGGUGGACAGUGAGUGGCGAGAGAGAGAGAGAGAUGUCCAGUAUAGAGAGAGGGUAGUGGUAAGGCAAUCUGAGGUGAUUGGUGGACAGUGAGUGGAGAGAGAGAGAGAGAGAUGUCCAGUAUAGAGAGAGGGUAGUGGUAAGGCAAUCUGAGGUGAUUGGUGGACAGUGAGUGGAGAGAGAGAGAGAGAGAUGUCCAGUACAGAGAGAGGGUAGUGGUAAGGCAAUCUGAGGUGAUUGGUGGACAGUGAGUGGUGAGAGAGAGAGAGAGAGAGAUGUCCAGUAUAGAGAGAGGGUAGUGGUAAGGCAAUCUGAGGUGAUUGGUGGACAGUGAGUGGCGAGAGAGAGAGAGAGAUGUCCAGUACAGAGAGAGGGUAGUGGUAAGGCAAUCUGAGGUGAUUGGUGGACAGUGAGUGGAGAGAGAGAGAGAGAGAUGUCCAGUACAGAGAGAGGGUAGUGGUAAGGCAAUCUGAGGUGAUUGGUGGACAGUGAGUGGCGAGAGAGAGAGAGAGAUGUCCAGUAUAGAGAGAGGGUAGUGGUAAGGCAAUCUGAGGUGAUUGGUGGACAGUGAGUGGCGAGAGAGAGAGAGAGAUGUCCAGUAUAGAGAGAGGGUAGUGGUAAGGCAAUCUGAGGUGAUUGGUGGACUGAGUGGAGAGAGAGGGUAGAAAGCCAGCGUGAGGUGAUUGGCGCACUGAGAGAGGUGAGAGAAGAUGGGCGCUUAUUACCAGAUAGGGAAGGGGAGUGAGGGUGGAGCUGUUAGAUUGUGUCAGGUGGAGAUAGAUGGAGAGGUGUUGUUGGGUCAUCUGGAAGUAAAUCACGCUGUCACAGUAAGGGGUCAGCCAUUCCAACCGAAGUGAAGAACUCUGUACUAGCAGUGUGGUGAACCUACAGAAUGCUGUAGAGGUUCACUUGGUAGCGGUGAUAGGUUUUUGAAUAUUAAGGAAAUCGCUUGAGAACAGGUUAGAGCAGUGAGGUAAAACGUUAGGCCAUGAUACAGAAUGACAGCGGUAUGGGGGGGGGGGGGGCUGCUGAUUGGCCUUUGCCUUCCAGUUUUAUUCUCUUCCGACUCUGGAGUCUACUGUUGCAGGGGAUGCAGCCAGUUGUGAAGUCUUAACAGUGUGAUGUGCAUUU